rnacentral:rRNA from 1 species
GACGAACGCUGGCGGCGUGCUUAACACAUGCAAGUCGAACGGAAAGGCCCUGCUUUUGUGGGGUGCUCGAGUGGCGAACGGGUGAGUAACACGUGAGUAACCUGCCCUUGACUUUGGGAUAACUUCAGGAAACUGGGGCUAAUACCGGAUAGGAGCUCCUGCUGCAUGGUGGGGGUUGGAAAGUUUCGGCGGUUGGGGAUGGACUCGCGGCUUAUCAGCUUGUUGGUGGGGUAGUGGCUUACCAAGGCUUUGACGGGUAGCUGGCCUGAGGGGGUGACCGGCCACAUUGGGACUGAGAUACGGCCCAGACUCCUACGGGAGGCAGCAGUGGGGAAUAUUGCACAAUGGGCGGAAGCCUGAUGCAGCAACGCCGCGUGCGGGAUGACGGCCUUCGGGUUGUAAACCGCUUUCGCCUGUGACGAAGCGUGAGUGACGGUAAUGGGUAAAGAAGCACCGGCUAACUACGUG